GACGAACGCUGGCGGCGUGCUUAACACAUGCAAGUCGAGCGGUAAGGCCCUUUCGGGGGUACACGAGCGGCGAACGGGUGAGUAACACGUGGGUGACCUGCCCUUAGCUCUGGGAUAAGCCUGGGAAACUGGGUCUAAUACCGGAUAUGACUCCAUGACGCAUGUUGUGGGGUGGAAAGCCUUGUGCGGCUAGGGAUGGGCCCGCGGCCUAUCAGCUUGUUGGUGGGGGUGAUGGCCUACCAAGGCGACGACGGGUAGCCGGCCUGAGAGGGCGACCGGCCACACUGGGACUGAGACACGGCCCAGACUCCUACGGGAGGCAGCAGUGGGGAAUCUUGCGCAAUGGGCGAAAGCCUGACGCAGCGACGCCGCGUGAGGGAUG
rnacentral:rRNA from 1 species